rfam:Gossypium hirsutum cultivar TM-1 chromosome 2, whole genome shotgun sequence
UUUGAGGGGAAUGUUGUCUGGCUCGAGGACACUUGUUUUUAAUCCAUUUCUUGCAUUACAAUUCAUUUAUGGAUCUGAUUAUUGCUGUAAUGGAUUGAGGCUGUACAAGGUCGUCGGACCAGGCUUCAUUCCCCCUAAU